rnacentral:lncRNA from 1 species
AUCGACACGCGCGGCGCGCGGGAGCCCACCUUCCGCCAUGCCGCGCCAGCUCGCUCGCGCCGCACCCGUGGCCCCCCGUGGGUGGCCCGGCGGUGGCCGCAAGCUAGCGCGACGUGCAUGUUGCGUCGCCGCGGGCUUGUCAAAGCAAAAGGCACUACGCUGUAGCAGCUGCUGCUUCCGUGACAAAGGAGACGGCGAGGACGACGCCGAUCCAUCCGCCGGGGUGUCCAUGCGAAAGGCACGGCUCCGAUUUGACCCGACGGCGAGCAAUCAGCCGCUGCCGCC